UUUCUCGCUUCAGCAGUACUUGCACUAAAAUUAGAACGAGACAGAGAAGAUGGCCCUUGCAAGCAAGGAUGAUCUGAAAAUUCAUUAAGCAUUCCAUAUUUAA